AUGCAGUCGAACGAUGAAGCCCAGCUUGCUGGGUGGAUUAGUGGCGAACGGGUGAGUAACACGUGAGUAACCUGCCCUUAACUCUGGGAUAAGCCUGGGAAACUGGGUCUAAUACCGGAUAGGAGCGUCCACCGCAUGGUGGGUGUUGGAAAGAUUUAUCGGUUUUGGAUGGACUCGCGGCCUAUCAGCUUGUUGGUGAGGUAAUGGCUCACCAAGGCGACGACGGGUAGCCGGCCUGAGAGGGUGACCGGCCACACUGGGACUGAGACACGGCCCAGACUCCUACGGGAGGCAGCAGUGGGGAAUAUUGCACAAUGGGCGAAAGCCUGAUGCAGCGACGCCGCGUGAGGGAUGACGGCCU
rnacentral:rRNA from 1 species